GACGGCCCUCCGGGUUGUAAACUGCUUUUGUACGGGAAUAAACCCGUGUUCGUGAACACGGCUGAAUGUACCGUACGAAUAAGGAU
rnacentral:rRNA from 1 species